rnacentral:rRNA from 1 species
AGCGGGGCCCAUCCCGUAAGGCUAAAUACUCCCGAGAGACCGAUAGCGAACCAGUACUGUGAAGGAAAGGUGAAAAGCACCUCGAACAGAGGAGUGAAAUAGUCCCUGAAACCGUCUGCCUACAAGCGGUCGGAGCAACGUAAGUUGUGACGGCGUGCCUUUUGCAUAAUGAACCUACGAGUUACUUUCUCCGGCAAGGUUAAGGGCUUCAGGCCCGGAGCCGAAGCGAAAGCGAGUCUUAAUAGGGCGUGAUAGUCGGAGUGAGUAGACGCGAAACCAAGUGAUCUACCCUUGGUCAGGAUGAAGGUUGGGUAACACCAACUGGAGGUCCGAAUGGGUAUACGUUGAAAAGUGUUCCAAUGAACUGAGGGUAGGGGUGAAAGGCUAAUCAAACUUGGAGAUAGCUCGUACUCCCCGAAAUGCAUUUAGGUGCAGCCUUUAUUUAGUAUAGCAUGAGGUAGAGCGACUGAUUGGAUGCGAGGGCUUCACCGCCUAUCAAGUCCAGAUAAACUCCGAAUGCGUGCUAUAUAUUGAUAAGGAGUGAGGGCGCGGGUGCUAAGGUCCGCGUCCGAGAGGAGAAGAAUCCAGACCAUCAGCUAAGGUCCCCAAAUAACAGUUAAGUUGAACUAACGAAGUCGGACUGCAGAGACAGCUAGGAUGUUGGCUUGGAAGCAGCCAUUCAUUUAAAGAGUGCGUAACAGCUCACUAGUCGAGGAGUCCGGCGUGGAUAAUACUCGGGCAUAAACUGUUUACCGAAGCUAUGGAUGUAGAAAUACAUGGUAGGGGAGCAUUCCAACGGCGUCGAAGGUGAAGGAUGACCUUUGCUGGAGCUUUUGGAAACGCAAAUGUAGGUAUAAGUAACGAUAAAGGAGGUGAGAAACCUCCUCGCCGAAAGACUAAGGUUUCCUGAUCAACGUUAAUCGGAUCAGGGUAAGUCGGGACCUAAGGUUAAGCCGAACGGCGAUACCGAUGGAAGAAUGGUUUAAUAUUCCCAUACUACUUUAUGGAGCGAUGUGGAGACGGAGAAGUGAAAGUCCUGCCAUCUGACGGAAUAGGUGGUUGAAGAGUGUAGAUGUAGAUUCCUGUAGGCAAAUCCGCAGGGAGAGUCGACCUUGAUAGUAUGCCGCGUGCUUGCACAAGGCAAAAUGGACGUAAUCAGGCUCCCAAGAAAAUCCGCUAAGCAUAUUCAUAAAGUACCCGUACCGUAAACGGACACACGUAGUUGGGUUGAAAAUACUGAGGCGCUCGAGUGAUUCACGGUUAAGGAACUAGGCAAAUUGACCCUGUAACUUCGGGAUAAAGGGUCCCUACUGAGAGGUAGGGCGCAGAGAAUAGGUCCAGGCAACUGUUUAACAAAAACACAUGGCUGUGCGAAAUAGAAAUAUGAAGUAUACAGCCUGACACCUGCCCGGUGCUGGAAGGUUAAGAGGAGAGCUCAUCGCAAGAGAAGGCUUGAAUUGAAGCCCCAGUAAACGGCGGCCGUAACUAUAACGGUCCUAAGGUAGCGAAAUUCCUUGUCGGGU